GUGUUCUCGUUGCUUCGAAAACACUACUCUUUUCACCGGAAGUAGGCGAAUGACCGUCAAAGCUUUUAGGACGGAGGAUAAAUCGAAUUUUUGAUAAAAACUUGCCUUUAUUACUUUGAAAAUACCCGUGGCCGACGACCAUGUGGUAUGAAAUAUUGCCCGGUUUUGCUGUAAUGGCUGUCUGUCUUAUGAUUCCUGGUAUCGCCACGAUUCACAUCCAGAAAUUUACAAAUAAAAAAAGUUCAAACAGCAUUGCACGGGUUCCGUACCACUAUUACCUGCUGGAUAGAGACAGACGACUGUUUGGAGAUGGAAAACAUUCCGCACCCAAGGGAUUAGAAAACAUAAACUGAAGAUACCAGACUUCCUGUCAAGAUUUGGACCUUGAAUUGAUGAUUUAUUUUACAUUAAAUGUAUUAAAGGAUUGAGAAUUGUUUAUAUUUGUUUUAAGUUCAUUCAAUUUCAAGUCACUGAAAAUAAAUAUUCAUAGUUGAAUACAUACCUGUUUUAGCUACACAACUAUUUUGCACAUGGUAAUGCAGCUCAAAAGCAGAGAUGCAGUACAUCUGUAAGAAUAAAAUCUUGCAAACGUCUGAAGUAAUUAUAGAAAUCGCAAGGGCCUCAUGUUUGCCCCACAAAAAAAGAGUAAUUUCUUCAGAUGUUUUAACAUGAUACAUGACUGGAGUUCAAGAAAACAAAUAUUUUGAUGUUAAAUUUUUAUGACUGACCAUCAAAUGACCAGAAAAUAGCCGUGUGUUACACCAAACCCUGUGCUAACCCGCCCAGGUCUCCCCUAGUUGCAUACUGCUUUUGGUCAUUUGGGGCAUGAAUGAAACACCCCGUUAGGUUUAACCGUGCAGAAGUGUCUGCACUUCUGCCUGGCUAGCAAUCCCAGCACGCUAGCAUGCUAUAUCAAAGCUAUGCGAUCUAUCAGUCACUAAAAGACUGUUUACAAUUACAUACAGACUUUUGGCAGUGUCUCUCAAAAUAUAAAUCUUCCUCCGUUGGUAACAAAAAGGGGUAAUUCUGCUCAUUUAACCCGAUGACCUUAUACAGUUCAGUGGUUUAACCUGAAGUACGUUGUUCAAGAUCGAUGCAACCACUUAAAAAGUAUGUUACAUUUUGCCCUGCUGUCCCCAACACAAUACUUUCGGCGUGUUUGUAAUGGCGAAACGGACAAGUGCUAAUUCCUCUGGAGAAUUGCUAAGUAAACAAUGGAUAUUCUAUUGACACUUAUCUGAGUUAGUAUGUUUUCUGGACUAAAAUUACUGUGGAUUUUGUUCACUAGAUCCUUGCCAUGAUAAAAACACUGUCUUCACCAUGAUUCAUGUCAUCUCUGGAUUUCCAAAAUACAAAGAAAGUGUGGGCCCCCAGUUUUGCCUUACUUAAGGGGUUUAAAUUAAAUUUAGGUGUAUGCAUUAUGGCGGGUGUGUCUGCUGGGCUGCUCUCCUGAAUUGGCAGACGAUGUCACAGCCUUAAAACCGACCAGCCAUUCCAGUGGAUUCACAGUCCGGGUAUUUGAAGUGGCAUGUACUGCAGAACGACCAAAUGCAUUUGGUUAAGCUCCAACAGGUGGAGAGAUCAAACGUGAUGUAGGCAAAACAUCCAAGUGCAAACACAUGCACGUGCUUUAACAUUUGCUUCAGAGGUCUGCUGUGGGAGGAGACAUAAGCUCUGUAGCCUCAAAUGCAGAACAGCAACGACAGGCAUAAUGGGCUGCGCACCCUCCAAAUCCCCUAGCAUGAACCCUGCAGCUCGAUUUCCCAGGGACAGCUCUGACAUGGACACUUGCUCCAGUUUCCUGUCUAGCCGGAAGAGCUCCUCUUGCACCCCUGAGAUGACAAUGCAUGGGUCAGUCUUUGUCACAGUUCCUAGCAAUGACCACCAUGGCUGCCGUCUGCUUCCACCUUUGACACUUGACCCAGGAAGGGAUCAGCUGACAGAGCAGAAUCAGAGCAGAGCCAACAGAGAUCCAUAUCCCAAAUGAGGAUAUAAAAUACAGGAUGAAGUAAACUCUGUUUCAUGAAAACCAUGGAUUGGUUUCUGUAUGAUCAUAGGCCUACAAAAUAAAAAUGGACAUGAUUUAUUUA